UAAAGAACAAGAUUAGUGUUUUAUAUAGUUAAUAUGAGGAACUGCAACAUUGAACUCAAAUUAACUAAGAGAAGUUCAUCCAUAGAACUUUGUUCAUGCACUCGUGACAAAUUUUCAGGAAACAAAACCAUUAAAAUCUUGGACUUAUUAUUGAAUGAUGUAUGAACUUAUUGAAAUAAAUUAACAGCUGUAAUUAUUUUAGUCUUACCUAAAACGCAAAUUCUAUCUACCAUUUAGUAUAUUUUUGGUAACAUUCAUUCCACUCCUAAGUCAGCUUCAGAUAUUAAUUCACUUCCUAUUUUGUUAGCACAAUAGCACUAAACCUAAGUAUUAUUCGAGUUAGAGUGAAUAAUUACACCAAAAGUAAACACUUAAUCCUGAUCUGUUUGAUUGUCAAGAAACAGUAGGAAAAGAAGGGAAAGAAACAAAAGCGAACAAAGUAAAAAUAAAAGCUCACUGGGCUCAAUGAAAAAGAUAAAAACAUAAAUUAAUUUAAACUACAACUAUUGACUUCGUUUUUGUUUUCUUGGAAACUGAAUCCUAAAAAUGACCAGCACUCCGCCCAAGUUUUCUCAAGACACUCAUUGAUUCCUCAGAACACCCAACUACGGUGGACCCAACCAAAGUCUAUUGCAUUGUUGAAUGAAAGUAUGAAAUCUUAACAACUAGCUCAGGCCAACAGAAACAACAUCAGACAUUGUGAUUAAACAUCUUCCUCAACUAACUCAGCGAUCAAAUGUCUAAUUCUGUAAACAUAUAAGCUAUUUCUUCUUUCCAUCAAUUAAACCCCAAAGUAGAACUCCCACUAUAAGUAUCCCCUUCAAAUUGGUUCCUUUUUUCUUUCUUUAAUACCUUUUAAGCAGGUUUUGUUCCUUCUUACAUUAGCAAAUAACUAACAUAAACAUCUACAUCUCUAAGCGAAAAAAACAUUUGCUCACAAAAUCAAAAACCAUUGCAAUAGGAAAUGACAGAUACCCAGUUGAAAUAGAGGCUUCAUCUCUCGCUCAUUCUUGUCACAUAGCAGGAGUCAAUGGAAAAAUCUCAUUCAUGGCUUCCCUAGCUUGUCUCAAUUUCUCUAUCUCACCCAUUUUUCUCAAAACCUUUAUUUACUGAAAAAUAAAAAUAAGAUAAAAACCAUUUUUAUCGCAACCCAAAGAACAAGCAAACGGUUAUCCACAAAAUCACUCAAUAAAUAUGUGUAUUGAAGUUACUUGAACAUUGGUGUCGUAAUUGGAGGGUUCAUUGGAUAGCUGAUACUCUAGAAACUCCUCUUUCGUAAAUCUUCUCAACUCCCAAAAGAGCCUCAGGUCUACAAAUUAAAGCCAAGUAUCAGCAAGAAACAGAUUGUGUAAUUAUCAAUAUAUACAUUAAGCUUUAGGUCACAGCUAUGUAAAACCAGAAAAAAGUAUGAAAUCUUAACAAUUAGCUGAGGCCAGCAGAAACAACAUCAGACAUUGUGAUUAAUUAUCUUCCUCGACUAACUCCGCGAUCAAAUGUCUAAUUCUGUAAACAUAUAAGCUAUUUCUUCUUCCCAUCAAUUAAACCCCAAAGAAUAGAACUCCCACCAUAAGUAUCCCCUUCUUCAAAUUGGUUCUUUUUUUUUUCUUUCUUUAAUACCUUUUAAGCAGGUUUUGUUCCUUUUUACAUUAGCAAAUAACUAACAUAAACAUCCAUAUCUCUACGCGAAAAAACAUUUGUUCACGAAAUCAAAAACCACUGCAAAAAGGAAAUGACAGAUACCCAGCUGAAAUAGAGGCUUC
rnacentral:lncRNA from 1 species